rnacentral:lncRNA from 1 species
UUCCUGGUCCUGCCUUUCAUCCUGAACCUUCACGCUCUGACACCGGUUGCCUUGGUUUGUAGGGUUAGGCAAGUCCCUGGAAGCCUGGUGCUACCCUGACCAGACGCGGAAGUGGCUUGGAUAUGUUGAGCCCUGUCCCGCCACAUGGGAAGAGUAAAUGAAGAAAGAGACUGGAGUCUCUCCUCCAGCAUGGUGAGGGACUAGGUAUUCCUGCAGCUGGAGGAGCCACCUGUUUCCCAGGCUGUGCCCCUCCCUCUAGUUGGUCAGGACCUGCCCCUGGAGCUUGCUGGGGCAUGCUUCUCUUAUAAUGGAGGCACUGUUCAAGCUAGAUGGGCAGAGCCUCGCAUGGACGGCAGCCAGGAGCAUCCAAUGGCAACAAACAGCAAGUUUAGGAGAGAUACACGUGGGAAAAACGUCAGUUUAAUGAGAGCCGCCAACCCAGGGCUGGGAAUUCUUCUUGGAAUGAAAUCUCAAAAAUAUGAGAGCCAAGGGAACUGGAAGAGACAGAAAAACUCCCAUCUACACUGGAGAAGGUGUAUUUCUCAAUGGGGCCCUGUCUACUGGGGUUUGUUUCCCUGGAGUUUUGCCAUGAAGAUCUUGCCUGCUUUGACCACACACACACACACACACACACACACACACACACACACACACACACACACACUCACACACACACACACACUCUCACACACACACACACACGCCCCUGAAAUGUGCUCACACUCACAUACACGCAACGAACAAAUAAAUGUAAUACGUUUUUCAAAGAGAAGGUCUUGCUACAAAGUCCGGUCUGGAAUCAAACUUGAAAU